GAGGGUAUAGCUCAAGUGGUAGAGCACAUGCUUAGCAUGCACGAGGUCCUGGGUUCAAUCCCCAGUACCUCCU
rnacentral:tRNA from 1 species